CAGUAGGUAGCAGCAGUAUGGAGAUACAGUAGGUAGCAGCAGUAUGGAGAUACAGUAGGUAGCAGCGGUAUGGAGAUACAGUAGGUAGCAGCAGUAUGGAGAUACAGUAGGUAGCAGCAGUAUGGCGAUACAGUAGGUAGCAGCAGUAUGGCGAUACAGUAGGUAGCAGCGGUAUGGAGAUACAGUAGGUAGCAGCGGUAUGGAGAUACAGUAGGUAGCAGAAGUAGGUAGCAGCGGUAGGGUAGAAGCGGUAGGUAGCAGCAGCAGUAGGUAGCAGCAGUAGGGUAGAAGCAGUAGUAGAUGGCAGCGGUAGUUAGCAGUAGUAGGUAGCAGCGGUAGGUAGCAGCAGCAGGUAGCAGCAGUAUGGAGGUAGGUAGCAGUGGUAGGGUAGCAGUAGGUAGCAGCAGCAGUAAGUAGCAGCGGUAGUUAGCAGCGGUAGGUAGCAGCAGUAGGUAGCAGCAGUAGGUUGCAGCAGUAGGGUAGAAGCAGUAGUAGUUAGCAGCGGUAGUUAGCAGUAGUAGGGAGCAGCAGCAGUAGGUAGCAGCAGUAGUAGGUAGCAGCAAUAGUAGUUAGCAGCAGUAGGGUAGAAGCAGUAGUAGUUAGCAGCAGUAGGUAGCAGCAGUAGGUAGCAGCGGCAGGUAGCAGCGGUAGAGUAGCAGCGGUAGGGUAGCAGCGGCAGGUAGCAGCAGUAGAGUAGCAGUGGCAGGUAGCAGCGGCAGGUAGCAGCGGUAGAGUAGCAGCGGAAGGGAAGCAGCGGUAGGUAGCAGCGGUAGAGUAGCAGCGGUAGGGUAGCAGCGGUAGGUAGCAGCGGUAGGGUAGGAGCGGCAGGUAGCACCGGCCGGUAGAAGCGGUAGGGUAGCAGCGGUAGAGUAGAAGCGGUAGGGUAGAAGCGGUAGGGUAGAAGCGGUAGGUAGCAGCAGUAGUAGUUAGCAGCGGUAGGUAGCAGCGGCAGGUAGCAGCAGUAGAGUAGCAGCGGCAGGUAGAAGCUGCAGGUAGCAGCAGUAGAGUAGCAGCGGAAGGGAAGCAGCGGUAGGGUAGCAGCGGCAGGUAGCAGCGGUAGGGUAGAAGCGGCAGGUAGAAGCGGCGGGUAGCAGUGGUAGGGUAGCAGUGGUAGAGUAGCAGUGGUAGGGUAGCAGUGGUAGGGUAGAAACGGCAGGUAGAAGCGGUAGGGUAGGAGCAGCGGUAGGUAGAAGCGGUUGGUAGCAAUGGUAGGGUAGCAGCAGCGG
rnacentral:lncRNA from 1 species